rnacentral:lncRNA from 1 species
GGGAAUAUACAUAAAGAGAAAUACAUAGAGAGGUAAAUGGAAGAAGAAAGUAGAGAAGAAAAGUCACAAGCAGUUACCAAAAAAAGAGAGAGAGUAAAGAUUAAGGAGAAGAAAGGUGGUAGGAAAGAUCACACUGUGCUAUAAAGGCAAUGAAGUCUUCCACUUUACUACUUUCAAGUAAAUUUCUCCUCUUUGUCUUGAAUUUGAAUUUUCCGCUUCACUGAGUCCAAAAUAGCUUUCCUCUAGC